rnacentral:rRNA from 1 species
UACGUAGGUGGCAAGCGUUGUCCGGAAUUAUUGGGCGUAAAGCGCGCGCAGGCGGUCGUUCAAGUCGCGUGUGAAAGCCCCCGGCUCAACUGGGGAGGGUCACGCGAUACUGAUCGACUCGAAGGCAGGAGAGGGUAGUGGAAUUCCCGGUGUAGUGGUGAAAUGCGUAGAUAUCGGGAGGAACACCAGUGGCGAAGGCGACUACCUGGCCUGUUCUUGACGCUGAGGCGCGAAAGCUAGGGGAGCAAACGGG